ensembl:lncRNA
CUGUAGCUGAAGGAAUCAACAUCAGCAUAGUUUGAAGUGUUGAGAUCUGCGUUAUUCCUCCAGGAGACAUCAGGAUCCCCUCAGACGAUCUUCAGGCCUUGAAAAUAAAAAUAGUUUUUGCUCCUAUGGCAGAAGCAGACGAGUUGUGCGAUUUGCUGUUUUUGUGGCUGAAAAAGAGAAAGCAGUGUACAGAGAAGCUGUUGGCUUUGGCGAAGGAGCUGGAGAAUGUACAUGAAAAAAGUACUGUUUCUCAAGUGGUCGGAUCUGCCACAUCCGUGAUUGCACUGUCUACAGCAGGAGUCGUCACUUUCCUCACAGGAGGCCUGGCCACCCCUCUUCUGGUUGCCACAACUGUGGGGACGAUAGCGGGCGCUGCAGUCGACAUCGCUUCCACAGCAAUAGAGGCAAUCAUCUCCGGCAGUACCAUGAAAGAAGCUAAAAAUAUCCUUCAAGAAGAUGAGAAGAUUGGAAAGAACAUUCAGGAGGCAAUAGAAAAUCUGAAGAAGAAAUGUGGAGCGCAACAAAACAGCAUUCAUGGAUCUACAGAUGUAGGCUGUGAGGUGGCCACUCAAAUUUUGGGGGCACUGGCCAGACGAAAUAACAUAGAUGUACCUCUGGACUUUCUCAGAACAUUCGUCAGGUCCACAUUCUCUCAAAAUUUAGUUGGACUGCAUGGUGCUGCUGCCGUUCCCCAAAUGUUGAUUUUAUCUGCUGUAACAUUAUGUUAUCAACUGGGCAUCAAAAGCUUCGAGAAAGGUUUGAAGGCCGGUGCCAAAGGACUGGGCAAGAGCGCUGCAUCCACUAGUGCGAAAGCUGCUACUAAAGCAGGUUUUAAGUUACUUGGAGUGAUUGGUUUUGGCAUUUCUCUGUACAGCUUGAUUUCAAGUUGUGAAGAAAUGCUAAAGAGCAAUCAGGGCACAAAGGCCAGCCAGGCUCUACGAGAUGCAGCCAGGGAAAUACGAGAAGCCAGGAGAAAUGUAGAAGAACAACUGAAUGCAAUGAAGUAUGUUAAUUUAUUAUGUUACCUUUCCGUUCUGUCCACAGGAACACAUCAUGUUAAAGGAAAUGUUCACCCAAAGAUAAUUAUUAUUUUACUCCCCAUGGACAUGCAAAUGUAUACCUUUGGCUUUGUGUAUGUGGCUAAAGGACAAAUACACACAAAUGUCAAAAAAUGCCCAUCUAAGUAACUAGCAAGUAAUAAUGUA